AUGCGAUACGUAAUGUGAAUUGCAGAUUUCAGUGAAUCAUCGAAUCUUUGAACGCACAUUGCGCCCGCCAGUAUUCUGGCGGGCAUGCCUGUUCGAGCGUCAUUUCAACCAUCAAGCGCCUCGCUUGUGUUGGGGCCCUGCGGCUGCCGCAGGCUCCUAAAUCCAGUGGCGGGCUCGUCGUGGUACCGAGUGCAGUAAACAUCCUCGCUCUGGGAACCCGACGGGUGCCGGCCGUGAAACCCCCCCCUCCUUAAGGUUGACCUCGGAUCAGGUAGGAAUACCCGCUGAACUUAA
rnacentral:misc_RNA from 1 species